rnacentral:rRNA from 1 species
UACGGGGGGGGCAAGCGUUGUUCGGAAUUACUGGGCGUAAAGGGCUCGUAGGCGGCCAACUAAGUCGGACGUGAAAUCCCCAGGCUCAACCUGGGAACUGCGUCCGAUACUGGAUGGCUUGAAUCCGGGAGAGGGAUGCAGAAUUCCAGGUGUAGCGGUGAAAUGCGUAGAUAUUGGGAAGAACACCGGUGGCGAAGGCGGCGACCUGGUCCGAUACUGACGCUGAGGUGCGAAAGCGUGGGGAGCAAACAGG